CAGCCGCCGCGGUAAUACGAAGGUCCCGGGCGUUGUUCGGAAUCACUGGGCGUAAAGGGAGCGUAGGCGGCGUGGUAAGUCAGAUGUGAAAUCCCGGGGCUCAACCCCGGAACUGCAUCCGAUACUGCCAUGCUAGAGGAUUGGAGAGGUAGCUGGAAUUCUUGGUGUAGCAGUGAAAUGCGUGGAGAUCAAGAGGAACACUCGUGGCGAAAGCGAGCUACUGGACAAUAACUGACGCUGAGGCUCGAAGGCCAGGGUAGCGAAAGGGAUUAGAUACCCCGGUAGUCCCUGUCUCUUAUAC
rnacentral:rRNA from 1 species